CCGGCCUCCGGUAAAGCUCCGUAUAACAGCCUCGCUCUACUCCUGGCUCUGUCCUUCCUAACUUCUCAUUAGGCUUGGCACCCCAGGAUGCGGUGUGAUCCAUGCCGCGUUAACUAAUCUGCCCCUUCUCUACCUUUUCUUUUUUCCUUUCUUUUCGAGACCAAGUCUAGCUCUGCCACCGAGGCUGGAGUGCAGUGGCACGAUCUCGCCUCCGCCUCCCGGGUUCAAGCGAUUCACCUGCCUCAGCUUCCGGAGUAGCUGGGAUUACAGGCCUGCGCCACCACGCCUGGCUAAUUUUUGUAUUUUUUUUUUUUUUGGUAGAUACGGGGCCAGGAGUUUGAGACCAGCAUGGCCAACAUAGUGAGACCCCAU
rnacentral:lncRNA from 1 species